AUACGAAGGGGGCUAGCGUUGCUCGGAAUUACUGGGCGUAAAGGGAGCGUAGGCGGACUGUUUAGUCAGAGGUGAAAGCCCAGGGCUCAACCUUGGAAUUGCCUUUGAUACUGGCAGUCUUGAGUACGGAAGAGGUAUGUGGAACUCCGAGUGUAGAGGUGAAAUUCGUAGAUAUUCGGAAGAACACCAGUGGCGAAGGCGACAUACUGGUCCGUUACUGACGCUGAGGCUCGAAAGCGUGGGGAGCAAACAGGAUUAGAUACCCUAGUAGUCC
rnacentral:rRNA from 1 species